rnacentral:rRNA from 1 species
UACGGGGGGGGCAAGCGUUGUUCGGAAUUACUGGGCGUAAAGGGCUCGUAGGUGGCCAACUAAGUCAGACGUGAAAUCCCUCAGCUUAACUGGGGAACUGCGUCUGAUACUGGAUGGCUUGAGUUUGGGAGAGGGAUGCGGAAUUCCAGGUGUAGCGGUGAAAUGCGUAGAUAUCUGGAGGAACACCGGUGGCGAAGGCGGCAUCCUGGACCAACACUGACACUGAGGAGCGAAAGCCAGGGGGAGCAAACGGG